GAUGAAGAACGCAGCGAAAUGCGAUAAGUAAUGUGAAUUGUAGAAUUCAGUGAAUCAUCGAAUCUUUGAACGCACAUUGCGCCCGCCAGUAUUCUGGCGGGCAUGCCUGUUCGAGCGUCAUUUCAACCAUCAAGCCCCCGGGCUUGUGUUGGGGACCUGCGGCUGCCGCAGGCCCUGAAAACCAGUGGCGGGCUCGCUAGUCACUCCGAGCGUAGUAGUUACAUCUCGCUCAGGGCGUGCUGCGGGUUCCGGCCGUUAAAAGCCUUUUACCCCAAGGUUGACCUCGGAUCAGGUAGGAAGACCCGCUGAACUUAAGCAUAUCAAUAAGCGGAGGA
rnacentral:misc_RNA from 1 species